rnacentral:snoRNA from 1 species
AACCCAUGGUGAGGGCACCUUCUCAAUAAAUCUUUGUAUAUCUCCCAUGCAUCAUAAAGUGUUUCUAAAUCCAUCUGCAGAAAAGAAGAGAUAUCAUUCCACAAUUU